rnacentral:lncRNA from 1 species
GGAGUGAUUGAUUGAAACCCCAUUUGAUUUUGAUGAGCUCAAAGCAUUUGAGUAUAUCUUUUGAUUACUAAUGAAUUCAAUUGAGUGUUUCAGUGAAAAUCCUGUCUAAGUGUCCCAAGACUUGGUUCAUAAUUUUUGGAUAAGUUAAGGAGUCUGUUUGAACCAAUGUCUGAGACUCGAGUCGACUCCCGAGUAUCACGAGUCGACUCCAA